AAUUUGCUAAAUUCAAAAUAUGUGAAAUUACUGAUGCUGGUUGUAGUGACCAGAAGGACCUCUAAUCUUCUAAUAGUAUUUUUCUUUUUCCCAUUAAUCAUGUAGGCUUGCACAAGAAAUUUUUCAGAACAGAUAAAACACAAAUCUUAGUUGACAUCUCUGCUGCUUGUCUCUUCUGGAUACACACAGAAUUCUGGAUAAUUGCAUCAUGUGAAGCUUCUGGCCAGAACCCUAAAGUGCAGCACAGGGCUGGAGCUUCUGUGGCUGGCAGAAACAGUCCAGUUCCCAUGAGGACUUCACUGGAAAUAUGGAUGUAGAUCACUUGCUAGUGGAGACUGACACCCAUUUGCAGAAGAAUCAGCACACAGACUUUCAGUGGGCAACUCCUGCACAGAACUGCAUCAUCUUCAACCAGGACUUCAUUCCAUUGCUCCUAAUACUCUCUACUUACCAAAUUGUCCAUUUAACUCCUGUGCUCCUCCAAAAGAAAAAAAAAAAAAAAGAAAAUAAAUGAGGUACAAGGCAGAAAGGUGGGGAAGGAUACUGGCUACAAGGUUAGUGCAGCUUUAUGAAUGAACACAAAAUUUUGGUUGUGCUGAACACUUUCCAGUGGAAACUGACACAAGUGUGAAUUUUGUCAUCUUGUUUGACUGAACUUUUGAAAUCAAGGUAUUACUGGUAAAAUCCCAACUUUCAGUGUUUCAAAUGAUCCUGGGUGAGGAUCAUCACCUCAAACCAUACCUAUGUCAGAUAUUUCUGUAACAAGUUCUAGACUAACUUCAUUUUAAGAAAACAAACAGGAGAAUGGCAUUACCUUAACCUGAGACAGUCUCUGUGUCAUGAUCUGCAUUGUAGAUCUAGGUGAGGAAUAAGUAUUUAAAAUAAUAAUAUAUAACAAUAUAAUAAUAUAAAGGAAGGAGGUUAAGGGUACUGACAAUUCGCCAUUUUUCCUGGAUAGCUCCUGCUAGUUUCUGCUCUUUGACACACAGAGAACCCACAUGUAUCUGUAAUGUUCAAGAUCUUUUGAUGUAACUGAUGGGUGAAGUCCACAGCCUUCACAUAUAUUGAAUUUGACUAUUUCUACACCAACACUAAUAAUUACCUGUGCUCAAUUACUAGAAUCCUUGUGCAAGUUGCUCGUUUUGAACCAUGUAAAAUGGAGUAGUACAGCACAGGAGCUGGGAUCCCUGUGCUGAAGAAUUCAGUCUAGAAACUUACUUCCAACGUCAAACAAGAGACAGAGUGUAUGAGAAGAUAAAUUAUUCAGUAAUGGAUCCUACACACUUAUAAUGCACAAGUUGUAAUGAAUCUCAGUUGCUCUUGUAAUUUUGUAAAGUUGUUUACCUAAUAUGGUAGAUGUGCCAUAUGGUACACUAAAGAGAGUGUUAGAAUGAGGACGUGAAGAUUUCGAGGUUUUUAUUUCUAGUUUUGUAGGCAUCUGUAAACUACAUUCAAGCUGUCCUAGAAUGUGAGCAGAGCAAGAAUGCAGGCUGCUCUGCCCCUUCAUGCUGACUGCUGCUGCCACCUGAUAACAUCCUCCAUCUCUUCCUCCCGUGCUCCUUAGGCACUGUGGCCCAGCAUGGGGCUGUGCCCUGGCUAGAUGCCAUCAAAGAAAGUCUUUCAGCCACUCUGCACCUUUAGGCUGGCUUAGUUUGAGUCAAGCUUUUUCACCUUUAAUAAAUCAUUUGAGCAGCUGGUUAACUCUUCUGGU
ensembl:lncRNA